rnacentral:rRNA from 1 species
UAGGGAAUCUUCGGCAAUGGACGAAAGUCUGACCGAGCAACGCCGCGUGAGUGAAGAAGGUUUUCGGAUCGUAAAACUCUGUUGUUAGAGAAGAACAAGGACGUUAGUAACUGAACGUCCCCUGACGGUAUCUAACCAGAAAGCCACGGCUAACUACGUGCCAGCAGCCGCGGUAAUACGUAGGUGGCAAGCGUUGUCCGGAUUUAUUGGGCGUAAAGCGAGCGCAGGCGGUUUCUUAAGUCUGAUGUGAAAGCCCCCGGCUCAACCGGGGAGGGUCAUUGGAAACUGGGAGAGUUGAGUGCGGAAGAGGCGGGUGGAAUUCCAUGUGUAGCGGUGAAAUGCGUAGAUGUAUGGAGGAACACCAGUGGCGAAGGCGGCUCUCUGGUCUGUAACUGACGCUGAGGCUCGAAAGCGUGGGGAGCAAACAGG